rnacentral:rRNA from 1 species
GGAUUAGAUACCCUGGUAGUCCUAGCUGUAAACGAUGGAUACUAGACGUAGGAACUGGAUUGACGGUUUCUGUGUCGUAGUUAACGCAUUAAGCACUCCGCCUGGGGAGUACGGUCGCAAGAUUAAAACUCAAAGGAAUUGACGGGGGCCCGCACAAGCGGUGGAGCAUGUGGUUUAAUUCGACGCAACGCGAAGAACCUUACCAGCUCUUGACAUUGCUAAGUCGCGAGUUUUAGAGAUAAAACUCUUCAGUUCGGCUGGACUUAGUACAGGUGCUGCAUGGCUGUCGUCAGCUCGUGCCG